GCAGUGCUGAAGAGUCCCAAACUAGGACGAAACAGCUGUCCGGUAC
rnacentral:hammerhead_ribozyme from 1 species